rnacentral:rRNA from 1 species
GGCGGCGUGCCUAACACAUGCAAGUCGAACGAGAAAGUUGGCUUCGGCCGAUGAGUAAAGUGGCGCACGGGUGAGUAACGCGUGGAUAAUCUGCCCUUUAGUUUGGAAUAACGUACCGAAAGGUGCGCUAAUACCGGAUAAUACCGAAUGACUACUGUCGUUUAGUCAAAGAAGGCUUCUGUUUACAUGCUUUUGCUGAAGGAUGAGUCCGCGUACCAUUAGCUAGUUGGUAGGGUAAUGGCCUACCAAGGCGACGAUGGUUAGCUGGUCUGAGAGGAUGAUCAGCCACACUGGAACUGAGACACGGUCCAGACUCCUACGGGAGGCAGCAGUGAGGAAUAUUGCGCAAUGGGGGCAACCCUGACGCAGCAACGCCGCGUGAGUGAGGAAGGUUUUCGGACCGUAAAGCUCUGUCGAGCGGGAAGAAAUGCAUGGUGGCUAAUAUCCAUCAUGCUUGACGGUACCGCUAAAGGAAGCACCGGCUAACUCCGUG